rnacentral:rRNA from 1 species
CCUACGGGUGGCAGCAGUGGGGAAUAUUGCACAAUGGGGGAAACCCUGAUGCAGCGACGCCGCGUGAGUGAAGAAGUCCUUCGUUAUGUAAAGCUCUAUCAGCAGGGAAGAAAAUGACGGUACCUGAGCAACAAUGCCCGGACAACUACGUGCCAGCAGCCGCGGUAAUACGUAGGGGGCAAGCGUUAUCCGGAUUUACUGGGUGGAAAGGGAGCGUAGACGGCAGUGCAAGUAUGGAGUGAAAGGCGGGGGCUCAACCCCCGGACUGCUUUGGAAACUGUACGGCUGGAGUGCAGGAGAGGCAAGUGGAAUUCCUGGUGUAGCGGUGAAAUGCGUAGAUAUUAGGAGGAACACCAGUGGCGAAGGCGGCUUACUGGACUGUAACUGACGUUGAGGCUCGAAAGCGUGGGGAGCAAACAGGAUUAGAUACCCCGGUAGUC